GCAUGCUCUAUAUGUGGGUAUUAUUAGUAGAUACAGCAUGCCCAUUUUUCAGAUGAGCAAACUGAGGGUUGGAGCGACUCUAUAACUUGUGCAAGGCUAUAGGCUCUAAGUAGCAGAUUAGUUCUGAAUCGAGGCCAGCAUUUCCUCUGGCCUCUGUGACGUCACAACUCAUGGGAGUAUGACUUGGGCAGCUCCAGCUGGCCUCUCUGCUAGUCUUGCUCAGUCACCAGUUUUGGGGGAAUGGGAGAGGAGCUUUCCACUCCUCUGAGAGUCAUGUCUAGAGUCUGUCUUAGCCCUCAACCCCUCAGUCUUUGUAGAUCUCAUCCCAGGAUCCCAGGACCCCGAGGGAGAGGCUCUCGUUUGCAUCAAGUGUGGGGUGCAGCAAAGUGGAUUCGGGACUGGCCGAUGUCUGGCCAGAAAUAUCAGGCAAGGGAAACAGUGACUCUAGUGGGGUCAGAAGAGGGGUAUCUGCUGGCCCAGGAGCCCAAGGCAGGGGGGUGAGUCUUUCUGAGGUGAGGUGAGUCUGAGGUAGGAGGUCCAAGUUUUCUGGACAAUGGCAGAAAUCAGAAUUCAAGCACCUGUCUUCUAGGAGAAGUUCUGGUCUCUCCUUGGUGCCGCAGCUGCCCCAGGAAGUUUCCAGGAGCUGACAAGCAUUCAGAUGAGUCAAGAUGGGAUCAGAUAGAGAAAAGGAGAAGGGAGAGCAUAUUUGUUCUCUUUCCACCUCCCUCCCACAGCCUUUCAUGCUGAUCUCAGCUGAUGAGGCUGCCUCCUCCUCCCUGGACUGUGCAAACCCCUGUCAUGGUCAGUGGCAACAUUUUCCACAGUGGGUGGCCAGCCUUGAUCUAGCAGUAAAGGAUGGAUUCUGUUAUUUCAGUGACGUGGGGCUCAGGGAAUGAGAGUGAUCAUCAAAAAGCAAAAGUAAGGCUAUCCUUACAGGGUUAACAAGAAUUACGGGCAGAAAUAUGGCUAUAAUUAGGCAUUAAUCAGGCUGCACUUUGACCCACUUCCUUGUAACUGACAGACACGGUAGGAGUAGAUACUGGCUGUUUGCAUCCCUAAUGUUCCUAUAGACGGGAUUUCUGAUGUUAGAGCUAUAAGGCUUUUGUUUAAGAUAGACAAGAUCUCUGACAUUAGAAUCAUGAGGCUCCUGUUUAAAAAUUGCUUAAGAUAUUUCUCAGAUCCUGAAUUCCAGCAAAACAGAUGAUGCUAACAAGUCUGAAGACCCCCAUAAAGGAAUGGAAUCAGUAUGAGAACACAGUUUCUUCAUCUCCCUGUCCCAGGACUUCACCCUGGACUCCUCUAUCAAUCAACAAUCUCCACACUUCAGCCCACUCCAAAACUCCUAAAAUCCCAAGCCCCAAACUCCUCUGGAAGAUGGAUUUGAGGCUUCCUUCUGUUUCCUUGUGUGGCAGCCCUAUCAUUAAACCGCUUUCUCUGCUG
rnacentral:lncRNA from 1 species